rnacentral:rRNA from 1 species
CACGUAGGGUGCGAGCGUUGUCCGGAAUUAUUGGGCGUAAAGAGCUCGUAGGCGGUGUGUCGCGUCGGCCGUGAAAACCUGCAGCUUAACUGUGGGCUUGCGGUCGAUACGGGCAUCACUGGAGUUCGGCAGGGGAGACUGGAAUUCCUGGUGUAGCGGUGAAAUGCGCAGAUAUCAGGAGGAACACCGGUGGCGAAGGCAGAUCUCUGGGCCGUAACUGACGCUGGAGGAGCGAAAGCGUGGGGAGCGAACAGG